GCAUUCUUUUUGUAAUGCGAAAAUCGAGCAACUAACAAAUACCAGCUGAUUGUUGAAAUGUGCCAACAGCUGAUGAGCAGUCCACAAUUAUAUAUUGCCAGAAGUAAACGAAAAUUGUAUACCCUUCACAAGCUUAAAAUGUCCAUUUGCUGCUCAGAGAGGCCUUAAAAAAGUAGAACUUUCUAUUUGCCGAACAGUGUAUGGUUUCCUGGAUGUAGUUGUACCCAGCAUGAUGAUGCCUCUUGAUGUUUACUGAAUAUCAUCUCUGAAAUGAGGUCACUGUGCUCCCAGUCGUCGAAAUCAUCUCUGUAGUCAGGUGCUUCGAGCAGAAUCGCCUCUCGGAAACAUUAAGAGGUAAUUUAUACAAUACGUCGACUACACUGAAUAAUAAACCGAUCAGACUCGGGACGUAGACAGCUUUGGACAUGCUAUAAACACCAUCAACAAUGGAGCCAUUAACACCUUCAACGAAACCAAUUUAUUUAACACCCUUAUCCCAACAUUUCAACUGUUCCGUCGAAACAGCUAAAUUCUUUUUAUAACUUAAGAAGGGGCGCAUCUAUCCAAAUCAAAUGUUUAGGCUUUGUUUGGGCUAUUUGGUAUAUGGUUUGUGUGAAGUUUGCACAAAAUCGGUGGAUCGGUAUAUAUAUAUGUAUGUAGAGCUUAUAUUAUGGUAGGCACGUCCUUAUUACAGUCCCUUCUAUCGAGUGACAGUAGGAAUUGUGGGUAUUUCUGGUUUACCGUUUUACAGAAUUUACUGUGCAUGGAUCUCCUGCAAUCGUACUACCUAAAACACCUUUGGCCGAAAUGCGAAACGAAGUUAUUGCCUUGAUUGCAACGUAGAUAUUAACUUUAGAGUAACCGGCUGCUGCAUUGGCGGCUAGCUCUGCGGCUUUCCCAAUAGCAAACACCUACGCUUGAAAUAUACUGCAGUGACCCGGUAGUUUCAAAGGCUGCUUGCACCUACCUCCGGACAGUAUAUCGCCGCACCUGUUCCGCCCUCCAUUUUCGAGCCAUCCGUAUAGAUAAUUAAUGUAUAAAUGAAUAUUAACAGAAUAUAGAAUUUUAAAAAUAUUUAUUUGUUAAUGCACAAAUUGAUAUUAAAUAAUCAUACAUAUACAUAUAGUCAAUAAUUUUUUUUUUCUUGGUAUAUGUUUGCAAUUCUAUAUUGUUGAAUAUUUAUAAAGAUUUAAACAUUUUACUAAAAAUCGCCAGUCAAAAAUUGAAAAACAUUCUUAUUGUCGAUAGUUUUACCAUAAAGGUCAAGAAGCAUAUUUAUUCAUUACUUAGCUAUUGUUUUGUAUUUUAACUAUAAUUAGCAAUAUCCUUUUGUUGUUGAACUGAUAUCUGUAUAAAUUAAAUUUAUGAACUGAAUUCGAUGGUUUAAUUGAUAUUCGUGUCAUAUUUUCGUCUCAACAGAGUUAAGUUGACCAUAUCUUUUCAGUUUAUUGUACAUUGUAGUCUAAAUUUAGAAUGAGUUACCUAUAGUAAAUCCGGGUCAUUUGCUAUUUUCUUAAUUAACAUAAUCGCAUAUAUAAAUUAUAAUUUUAUAUAAACUUUAUUUCUUCCUGUUAUAACAGUAGCCUUGUACUAACAAAUAAAUAUGUAAUAUCUGGCAUUAGGCUACUUGUGAAUAAGGCACCGUAGUUUUAACAAUAGCAUUGUUAAUUAGAAAUUUUAAAGACAUUUAGUACAUUUAACAUUUUAUAUACUUUGUUUAGAUAAUUAGAAUGAAAUACAAAUACAUACAUUUGUUUAAACAUUUUGUAGAAAGGUAUAAUUUGUUAGAACUGGUAAAAUGUUAAUUGUAAAGUUAUAAAAAAUGGAUAAUACCUUUAUAUGAAAAAUACAUCGAAGGUACAUCAGAAAGAAACGAUUUGAAUUUCAUGUUAAAUUAGUUUGGCUUAUAUCUUAUUUUCUAAUAAUUUUGAACGUUUCAGACAGGCAUUUCUUGAUUGAAUGCAGUGCAAUCCAGUAUAACGAAUGAUAUGAUAUCAUAAGGAUCAUAUGUAUGUAUAAUAUAUAUGAACCUGUUUUUGUUUUU